CUAGGUGCCUAGGGACAGCAUCAUUUAGGGAUUUUUGAGAAGGCGCGAUGCUGGCGCCGAGCGACGCCGUGGCGUGUUCGUCCUCGGCGUGAUCGUUCUCUGGGCCGCGCGUUGUUCAACAUUGCUCAUGUAAUCGUGCGUGCGUUGCUUGUGUAUUGGUUGUGUGUGUUGGUUGUAGGUUCUGUGUUACUUGGCGGAAAGCCGUGAGUAGUGGCGGUGCGGCAAUGCGGCUUUGGCCUCGAUGAGGUCUGGCACUACAGAAUCUGCGUUGUGUGACCCGUGCUUUCUUGAGAACCCGGCGGUGGUGACAAUUGAAAUAUCGAAGUGGUCUAGCGCCUCGGCAGCGAAGUUCUGCGAACCGCGAUGUGGCGUCGCCGUGUCCGACUUUGCUUAACGGACAUCGAGGGAUGUGCUGCUCGCUGCAAGUCAUGCACCUUUUCUACUUGAAGCUUCCAUUGCAGUGUUUUGAACAUCAUUGAACCAGCACAUAGUGUAUAUAAAUAUUGGACACUGAUUGGGAACAUCACCUAAGUUCAUGCCUAUAUAUAGUAAAAAGAUGUAGCACGACCGGACAAAAUAAAAGAAGGGGGUGGGCUGUAGCAAUACUAAGUGUUAAAUGGUGCUUUAUCCUUUCCCUUGAGUUUUCUGUUUUUGUGCUUUUUAUGAAUCCUCCGCAGUAACCAUGCGAGUGCUGAGCUUGAGCUUGUUGGUUUCAAGUCUCAUGGUUGUUAAUAACAGAACAGUGUGAUAAACGAACAAGGGCUUGGAGGCAUCCAUUCACCUUGCUUGCCUCAUGGUGCUGCUUCAUAAGCACCGUGAGCAUCCAGGCCAACUAGGAAGGGAGGUUUGUUGCAAUUGCUUCUGAACUUUAUUGCCACCAAACCAACAGUGCUCUCAAUGACAGCUUUUGGACAGUAGAAUGCUUGCACCCAGCAAAGUCUUAAGAAGGAAGCAUUCAGGAUGUGCAAAAUAGGCUUUUGAAGCUGGCAGCAUUACUGAAGGGGCUUUGCCCAUCUGCCCUCUUUAUGGAUACACAAAGAUGAUUUCCUCUUUAAGAGGGAUUGUUUCAGAGGUCAUUACAUGGCAACAGUGUUGGGUGUUUAGUAGCUUGUCUUUGCCCACUGUUAAUAACCUGUUCCUUCUCCAGUGCCCCUGUGAAGUGCCUACUUUUUGGACACAAUGUGCUCUCCAUGCAUUCAUGCAUUUUUAGCUUGUAAAGACGUCUAUUACCCCUUGCCUCAAGCUGGUCUUUGCUGAUGUCACCCAAGAAGGCAUUGGGGAGUAUGGCAAUGUACGCUUACAAAACACAGUCGAUACCAGUGAAACUAAAUUAAUGGAGCUGCUGUUCUUUUUUUGUCCACUCCAUCCUUGUUAGUUACAAUGAGCAAUGUCCGAACAGAAGGCAUAUGUAGUUGGUCGUGCAUAGCCUGCGCACUAAGACUUGUUGGCAUGUUAUGACCUUAGCACAGUGUUUAUAUGUAAAAACCUUCUGAUGUGUUGAUGA